rnacentral:rRNA from 1 species
UACGUAGGGGGCGAGCGUUGUCCGGAUUUAUUGGGCGUAAAGAGCGUGUAGGCGGCCAGGUAGGUCCGUUGUGAAAACUCGAGGCUCAACCUCGAGACGUCGAUGGAAACCAUCUGGCUAGAGUCCGGAAGAGGAGAGUGGAAUUCCUGGUGUAGCGGUGAAAUGCGCAGAUAUCAGGAAGAACACCUAUGGCGAAGGCAGCUCUCUGGGACGGUACUGACGCUGAGACGCGAAAGCCAGGGGAGCGAACGGG